AAAUAUUUCUAGAUUUUUUUUUUUCUCUGUUUACAUCAUUGUAGAAGAUUAUUUUGAUCUGAUGAUAAGCCUCUUUGUCAUUUUGAUUAAAGAAGGAAAAGAAAAUGAUUUUAGGUUAUUCUUACCAUUCUUCGAUUCUUUCAGCUCUAGAAAGGAAAUGAACGAUUUGAUCUCGAUCUCAAUGUGGAUACUCUGAAGAUGUUUACUGUUUCACUGCAAUUACGUGUUUAUGCUAAAUUUUUUUUUGGGAGCUGGAAACUUUUCUUUGAUCCUAACAUUUUUUUUAAGCUGCGGUAGAAGCAGAACAAAUUAAGAAGCAGCAACGAUUUGUUUUAUCGAGGAAAUAUUAAUUUUAUACUUGCAAAAUUUGU
rnacentral:misc_RNA from 1 species